rnacentral:rRNA from 1 species
GCAUCGAUGAAGAACGCAGCGAAAUGCGAUAACUAGUGUGAAUUGCAGAAUUCCGUGAAUCAUCGAGUCUUUGAACGCACAUUGCGCCCCCUGGUAUUCCGGGGGGCAUGCCUGUCCGAGCGUCAUUGCUGCCCAUCAAGCACGGCUUGUGUGUUGGGUCGUCGUCCCCUCUUCGGGGGGGACGGGCCCCAAAGGCAGCGGCGGCACCGCGUCCGAUCCUCGAGCGUAUGGGGCUUUGUCACCCGCUCUGUAGGCCCGGCCGGCGCUUGCCGAACGCAAAACAACCAUUCUUUCCAGGUUGACCUCGGAUCAGGUAGGGAUACCCGCUGAACUUAAGCAUAUCAAUAAGCGGAGGA